UACGUAGGGUGAGAGCGUUGUCCGGAAUUACUGGGCGUAAAGAGCUCGUAGGUGGUUUGUCGCGUUGUUCGUGAAAACUCACAACUCAAUUGUGGGCGUGCGGGCGAUACGGGCAGACUGGAGUACUGCAGGGGAGACUGGAAUUCCUGGUGUAGCGGUGGAAUGCGCAGAUAUCAGGAGGAACACCGGUGGCGAAGGCGGGUCUCUGGGCAGUAACUGACGCUGAGGAGCGAAAGCGUGGGGAGCGAACAGG
rnacentral:rRNA from 1 species